UGGUUAAAAAAAUGAGAAUAUAUAUAUUUUAAUAAUAAUAAUAAUAAUAAUAAUAAUAAUAAUAAUAAAUUGUCGAAGUUCUAAAUUUCACAUGAAAAUCAUCAUGUUAAUAAUUGAUAUUUUCAACCUUUUUCCAUCUUUAAUAUGUUGUUCAUCCUGCCCAAUACUAUACUGAGAAACAAAGCAUUAUGUAAAGCAAUCAAGAAGACUCAAUCUUCUUUGGUAGGAGUCAGCCAGGAUGUUGACUCAGCAAUAUUUACCUUGUCUUUCAAAAAAAAAAAAAAUCCAAAUGGUCUGUUUCAGA